rnacentral:rRNA from 1 species
GGAGUCUGGUCCGUGUCUCAGUACCAGUGUGGGGGUUUAGCCUCUCAGCUCCCCUAGACAUCGUCGCCUUGGUAAGCCGUUGCCUUACCAACUAGCUAAUGUCACGCAUGCCCAUCCCGUACCACCGAAGCUUUAGUCACCUGACCAUGCGAUCCAGUGACUCCAUGGGAUAUUAGUGGAAAUUUCUCCCCGUUAUCCCCCUGUACAGGGUAGGUUGCAUACGCGUUACGCACCCGUGCGCCGGUCGCCAUCAAAGGAAGCAAGCUUCCUUCAUGCUGCCCCUUGACUUGCAUGUGUUAAGCCUGUAGCUAGCGUUCAUC